GAAUUUACUAUGUUAUCAAUGUUUUUGAAGCUGUGACAAAAAAAAAAACAAUGUUUUUGAAGUUGUUCCAGCUCUGUUCUCUUAGUUACUACCAUUCUUUGAAAUUUCAUCCACGUCAUACCAGUAAACAACUUCAUUUUUGUUCUUAGUACUCAUUCAAAUGUAUCUCUUUUUCUGGUCUCCAAGUCUCCCUAUAAUUAGUCAGCACAGUUCAUCUACUAUCUAUUUUAUUGGACUAACAUUGCGUACAAGUGAGUUUGGGUACCUUCUCACAUUUUGCUUCUCAACUUUGGAUCCAGCCAUACUUAGACCUUCUUAUAACUAUUUUCCUUUUAUUAUUUACUUAUAAAUGUUCUCUCUAGUUCUAAGACAAGACAAUUCAUCUUACCUCAUACUUAGACCUUUUAUUUUAUUUUUGUUUGGUUUUCAAGACGUUGUCACCCUAGCCUCCAACUUUCUUCCACCAUUUUCCAAAUUGUUAUUUUAUGCUUUUUGGCAGUGAUUCUUAGAUAUUGUAAAUUCCAUUGUCAAACAUUUCUAACGUUAUUAAUUAUCUUUAUAUUCAAUUGUGUUUGCACAAUCAGGGACAUAGAGAUCUAUUUGUAAAAAAGAUGUAGUACUACUCUAGAUACUGUAAAAACUAAAAACUGAAUUAAAAUAUAGUCAUUCUUGUCAAAAUAUAGUCAGACAGAUGUGAUUCCUGUAACGAAGAAGACAAGUUAAAGUUCAAACUGUGGAAGAAGAGACAACAAGAAGCAUAACAUCAAGUAAAAAGAAAAAAGAAAACUUGUUAUGAUCCAAUGAAGCAAAUAAAAUAUAGAUGAGACGAACAUCGGCUAAUUGUUGGAUAGAAGGUAACAUAGGAUCCUUCUCUAUAUUAAAUGUGCAACAAAUGGGAUGAUCCCAUUCACGGCUAGCCACCCGGAGAGGCUCACGUCCUCCUCCCCCCACUAUUAAAGUUGCAACUGUUUCAGUUUCUUAAAGUUAAAUCUUGCAAGCUGCAACAGUUAUGAAAAGCUGAAGUUUAAUGACAAAAACAAUCAGAUUGGUUAGUAUACUCGAACUUGAACCGUGAAACACUCACGUUUUUAUUGGGUUUUUACUCAAGUAUUGAAUAUAGUAUUUCAAUUUUGCCAACGUGUAAACUUAGGUGUAUAAAUAAAAUGUUUUUAUUGGGUUUUCAACUUUUUUCAUUUAUUGACAUGUCAAUCUCUUAUGCUCUUAAAAAUCUGAUGUGUCAUUCCCUGGAAAGAACCUUGUGUUAUUAUUGUGUUGAUUUCAGUUGUUUUUUUCUCUCUCUUUCAUCCACAUGUAACAUAUUAAUGAGAUUUUAUUUGGUUGUCAGGGGGAAGAACUAAUGUUGGAUCCAAAACGUGCACAGCUUUUGGAAGUGGAUUGAGACUCUUAGGUGCAUUUCCACAGCAUCAGAUGGCAAUCUUUCUACAUCAUCUUGUUACCUAUGACGAUUUCAUCCAUAAGACUUUUCAAUUAUAUUUCAAAUGUAGUUUUGGAAUUUUAUCUGUACGACUAUUCAAUUGUGGAUGGUUAGAUAACAAGAAAAGUAAUCGUAUUAACAUCCAUGAGUCCGUGAUAAACAUAGAACCAUAUAAACAACACAAGGUCCUCUUUAAAUAUUCAGAUAGAAGCAUACCACGACGAAGACUUAUUCUUCUUGUUCUGUCUCUCCCUAAAACGGUUUCUGCUCUCUUCUAAAUUGUAUUAAAGAAGGAAACGUUUGAGUAUUUGAAUGAGCUCCAGCUCGGUGCAGAGAAGCUGAUCCACAGCUAUGGGUUCCUAAAUAUGCUCACGUUGUUACUAAAAUGGGUCGCAUCUUUUGCUGCAAUCCUUCUGCUGAUACUGGAUGGAACGAAAUGGAAGUCAGCCAGCAUGUGGACUUCAUAAUAGCUCCUUAACUCUUCUUUAGCCUUCCUCUUGUUGUUUUCCAGUUCUUGCGGAAAGAGUUUGGGAAAUGGAUUUCCCUCCUCAUCACAGUCGUUCUCAGGUGUUUCCUCCCAAAUGAUUUUUCAGGUACACAAUCUUAGAACGUACCAUAGAGAGCAAUUUAGUUACGAUAUAUAUAGUAAUGUUAGAGAUAUAAAUGAAAUCAUUCUACUAGGAGCUGGUUUGAAGCAUUUUUGUAAUUCCUUGCCUAUAUAUUAUAAAACUUGCAGUGUCACUAGAGAUUCCAGGUGCAACGCUUUUUCUUAUUGCGACUGCACCGAUUUUAUUGGUGGAAACAUUUAGAGACAAGGCAGACGACCUUAGAGAUCCAUUAAAUGUGUUUCUUCUCACGAGCUGUUAACUUCUAAGCAAACACACAAAAGCUUGGGGUCGAUACAAAAACUAAUUCAUUCAAAAGGAUAAAGUCACUUGUCUUUAUCUUCUCUUUAUCUAUCCUCUUUGAACGGCAUUUACCUACGCCUUCUUAAAUUUCUAAGAGCAUCUCCAAAAAUAUUUUCUAUUUUGAAGUUUGCAGAACUCUAUAGUUGAAGUUUAAAUAUUUUUUCUCUAAAAACAAAACUUCAAACACUUAAUUUCAAAAUUACUUUUAUUUUAUA